rnacentral:rRNA from 1 species
AUUGAACGCUGGCGGCAGGCCUAACACAUGCAAGUCGAACGAGUGGCGGACGGGUGAGUAAUGUCUGGGAAACUGCCUGAUGGAGGGGGAUAACUACUGGAAACGGUAGCUAAUACCGCAUACCAUCGGAUGUGCCCAGAUGGGAUUGGCUGGUUGGUGUGGUAACGGCUCACCAAGGCGACGAUCCCUAGCUGGUCUGAGAGGAUGAAGAGCCAAACGGGAACGGAGACACGGUCCAAACUCGUACGGGAGGCAGAAGUGGGGAAGAGUGCAAAAUGGGGGCAAGCCGGAUGCAGCCAUGCCGCGUGUAUGAAGAAGGCCUUCGGGUGGUAAAGUACUUUCAGCGGGGAGGCGUUACCCGAAGAAGAAGCACCGGCUAACUACGUGCCAGCAGCCGCGGUAAUAC